GACGAACCGUGCGAACGUUGUUCGGAUUCACUGGGCUUAAAGGGCGCGUAGGCGGGUUCCCAAGUCAGGGGUGAAAUCUUUCGGCUUAACCGGAAAACGGCCCCUGAUACUGGGAGUCUUGAGGGAGGUAGGGGCAUGUGGAACUUCCGGUGGAGCGGUGAAAUGCGUAGAUAUCGGAAGGAACGCCGGUGGCGAAAGCGACGUGCUGGACCUCUUCUGACGCUGAGGCGCGAAAGCUAGGGGAGCAAACGGG
rnacentral:rRNA from 1 species